GGAGAGGUGCGGGAGUGGUUUAUCCGGGCGGUCUCGAAAACCGUUGUGCCUUCGGGCACCGUGGGUUCGAAUCCCACCCUCUCCGCCA
rnacentral:tRNA from 2 species